GGAUGAGAGGGCAAUCUGACUGCGACAUUUGUCACUUCAUUAAUCUCCAGAAUUGAUUCAGCUGAUCUGGCUGGCUAAGUAGAUGUCUCUUUCCUCUCGUACUGCUCCAUGUGCAUCCCUCCUGAAGCUGCAACACUUAGUCAAAGAGGAUGGCCUUCCCGGAAUACAGACUGACUGGUCUUGGUUGAGGGUAUAUGAGCAGCUGCACUCCCCUGCUAGAGCCUCCAAACAAGCUCUCAAAGAAAUAUCUGGAAAUUAUUAAGCAGUAUAGUACAGUGGAAAGCCACAAAAUUAACAUAAAAAUCAGUGGCAUUU
ensembl:misc_RNA 7SK 7SK RNA